rnacentral:rRNA from 1 species
AGGUUACUGCUAUCGGUGUUCGCCUAAGCCAUGCGAGUCAUAUGUUCUUCGUGAACAUGGCGUACUGCUCAGUAACACGUGGAUAACCUGCCCUUGGGUCCGGCAUAACCCCGGGAAACUGGGGAUAAUUCCGGAUAACGCACAUAUGCUGGAAUGCUUUAUGCGUCAAAUGGAUUCGUCCGCCCAAGGAUGGGUCUGCGGCCUAUCAGGUAGUAGUGGGUGUAAUGUACCUACUAGCCUACGACGGGUACGGGUUGUGAGAGCAAGAGCCCGGAGAUGGAUUCUGAGACAUGAAUCCAGGCCCUACGGGGCGCAGCAGGCGCGAAAACUUUACAAUGCGGGAAACCGUGAUAAGGGGACACCGAGUGCCAGCAUCAUAUGCUGGCUGUCCGGGUGUGUAAAAUACACCUGUUAGCAAGGGCCGGGCAAGACCGGUGCCAGCCGCCGCGGUAACACCGGCGGCCCGAGUGGUGAUCGUGAUUAUUGGGUCUAAAGGGUCCGUAGCCGGUUUGGUCAGUCCUCCGGGAAAUCUGACGGCUUAACCGUUAGGCUUUCGGGGGAUACUGCCAGACUUGGAACCGGGAGAGGUAAGAGGUACUACAGGGGUAGGAGUGAAAUCUUGUAAUCCCUGUGGGACCACCUGUGGCGAAGGCGCCUUACCAGAACGGGUUCGACGGUGAGGGACGAAAGCUGGGGGCACGAACCGGAUUAGAUACCCGGGUAGUCCCAGCCGUAAACGAUGCUCGCUAGGUGUCAGGCAUGGCGCGACCGUGUCUGGUGCCGCAGGGAAGCCGUGAAGCGAGCCACCUGGGAAGUACGGCCGCAAGGCUGAAACUUAA